AAAAACUCUAAGACAUGAAAAGUGGGUUUUGAUAUCAAUGCAGCUAUCUAAAGGAACAUUUGAGACCAUGAAGUGACUGAAUGCACACUAGUUACACAUUUUGUUUUGCCCAAACAUGUAUCUGAAGGGACAGGUUUAGGGCCGGUAAAAAGAGACCUUAAAAAACAGGGAAUUGGCAGUGAUUUCUGCUCACAUAGAAAGUGAUAUGUCUUGGGUCUUCUGCUAUAAUAUUUUAAAAAAGAAAUAUCUAUUGCUUUCCAUAUGGAAUGGUGUAGUAUCACUAUUUACUGAGUUUAUUUUCACUAUCAAAUUUAAGAUUCUAGCCCAUUUCUGGCAGUUGCAACUUUUUUUCUUGCAUAUCCUGAUAAUAAUUGUUGGAAGGUGACUUAUCAUACUAUAGUUACAGGUGGACACACUCAGGGGCCUCCCAAUUAAAAAAAAAAGAUCAGCGCUAGUCUCAGCUGCCACUUUACUUCUGACUUAGAUUGAGGAAGCUCAUUGGCUCCAGCCUGACAAAUCGUGUCCAGCCUCCAACUCUAACCAGUCAUGUUCUCUCACCUUCUACUUAAGCAAGACUUACCCAGCCUAUCUGGUCUUUCUGCUGCUGAUUGAAGGGAAGGUUGACCUUGAGGCCUUAGAGUCCUGGAGACGUCUAAGCUGGUUUCUCUUUUCUUUCAAUGCAUAAUUCUCUCUGCUCUUCUGCUUCUGCCUCCUUUGAGAGGGAAUUUCCCACUGCUUUGCUGUGGGAAAGACAGGCAAAAUGAAGAUGGCACCUAUAUUCAGUCUCCUUUCCUUUCCUUUCCUCUCACUCCUAAUCACAAAAUAUGCCUAAGAGGUCAAGCUUGGAUAAUAAACUGAACAUUCUUUCAUCUCACUAGUGAAAAAGUGAAACUUGGUACUGAGUUGAAGAAACACUUUGGGUUGAUCAAAUACUGGAAACGACCUCUUCAGAAUAAAGAUCCAUAAUCCUAGUAAAUUCUGAAGCUACUGUGUCAUGAAAUGCAGAAGUUCACAAACAUCUGUCAACACUUGCUGAUGAGACUGCUGAAGCAGCAAGGUUAGAUUGUCCUCACCUGCAGCGACCUACCUUUGGAGAAGAGAUCCUGGAUCCAGCGUAACACAAAUGAAGAUUCUUCUGUUUCAGGCUGUGAUGACUCUUGGUAGGAAUAUCUCAGCAUCAUGUGAUUCCUACCACCUGAGAAUGGAGCAAAGCAGCCUCUUUGCCGCCCCAAGCUCAGUGCUCCGUAGACUGAAAAAAAGAUGCAGUCGACAAACAGCUGAGGAGGCUUCAUGAAUGCUGCACACAGCAACUUCAGAGUUCCUCUCUGAACAGGUCUCCAAUUGAUUGGAUGAGAUCCAGCUGCCUUAGGGAGGGCGUCUACUCAGCUCAAUCUACCAAUUCGAAUAUUAAGCUCAUCCAGAUACACCCUCUCAGACACCCCCAGAAAGUAUGACCAAAUGUCUGGGCACCCCAUGGCCCAGUCAAGGUGACAUAGAAAAUUAACCAUCACAUAGUAGAUUGGAGAGCAUAGACUCUGACUCAAAAU
ensembl:lncRNA